rnacentral:piRNA from 1 species
UAGUACCAGGGUCUUUGCUGCAGA